AAAAUGUCAGGGCGACACGCCGCCAAGAUAACAUUAGCGAAAUAUCAAGUCCUUUAUGAUGUCAGGAGGGAUUCCUUCCCGCUGCCGAAGCUGCCUAAUGACAUCAUAAAAUAGGCCUGCAGCAGUCGCAGUCCCCUUGAGUCAUCAAUCAGGCCUGUCUGUGGAGGGCUCUGGGAUGCAGGGUGGGGGUGCAAGAUUUUAAACUCAAAGGAGGCCUCAACACAGCGGCACCUUGAAGGGCUGAGGAACUGAAGACACCUACAGGCUCAGAAAGGACCAGUUCCCUGGGGCUCACCUGGGCUCAAGGAGGGCACUGCUCUGUAUGGCCACGGCUUGUGUCUGGCAAGCAGAUGUUGGAGGGGACCAGGAAGCCUGAAGAGAAAAAGAAGAUCCUAGAGGGCUUUCCACAUUUGACCUCCUGCUGAGCUCCGGGAAACAAAGGAGAAAGAAGAUGUGCCCAUUCACAGAGCAGCAGGCACAACACAUGGUGGACUGGAUCCUGGAAGCUAGAGGUCAGGGUAGCAUACUUCGUAGAUGAAGCUCCUGGGACACAGGCAAGAAAGACAGAAAAUGAAUGUCGGAACAGAAUUCUCCCUUCCCUGAGUAAAGUCCUGGUGAUGAAAGAGUUGGCCUGAGUAGGUGUGAUGAAGUAAGUCCUUGGUGUGACCGAACCUUGCCUGGGAGCUUCUACAAGGCUGCAAGGCAAGGGAAGCCUUCCUGCUGCUCCUGAGGGAAGGACACAGAGAACCUUCUGUGCUCCCCUCAUCCGACAAGAGUCAGUUCCCAGGACCCAAACAUAUCUUACCUACUGAGAUUGCCUGUGCUUUGUAUCUGCUGGAUCUUCUGUGUCCAGGACUGGAAAAGAUGUCUACAACACGGACCUAGAAUGGAAGGAACCCGCUGCCAGGGACUUCUUCUCUUGGGACCACCUGGACUUUCCCAUUGCAAGGGGCCUGUGGGUGAUGUUUGUCCAUCUCAUUACCCUUCCCUACCAGGAAGUUUCUCAUCUGCUGAACAGUGUGACCAGGAACUGGCUGCGGAUGCAAGAGGAAAGUUGGGUGGGAUUUCGGGGUGGGUCUCUUGACUUUGAAUUCUAAUGUAGCAAAGGUUAGAGAGGUAGAGGCCUGGGCCUUGAGACCACAGCUAAAGAAGACCCUGAAAGUCAAAAAAGUCAUGUUACUAGGGUAGGGAAGCUGAUGUGGGGACAAGUGGUACCUGUGUGCAUCUGAAUAUAUGAGUAGGUGUGUGUGUGUGUGUGUGUGUGUGUGUGUGUGUAAGAGAGAUGGGGGUGGAGUGGGGGGGAAGAGAGAACUGUAGAGGCGAUCAAGGGUCAAAGUGAAAGGAAAUAGGUAUGGAUGGACCAUGCCAGAUGAUGACAACAAUGAUGAUAGUCAGUGAGAAUUUAUGCUGUAUGCCAA